CCAGUGGUGGGCCCAUCCUGUCAUUGUCAUAGGCAACCUCGACGCGUGCGCCCUCGUUUCGUCUGUCUCUCUCGCCGUCCGUACGUCCACGGCGGGCGGCGGCGGCAUGGCAGAACGGAGGCGGCCGGAGCAGGACACGGCAGGGAGGGGGUGGAUUCUGGAACGGAUGCGGUGAGCACACCCGAAGACGAAGAGACGAGACCACGCCACCACGGCUGUCUCCCUCUCCCUCUCUGUUCAUCGAUUCUACAGAGCCACACCCUUAAUACAGCUCACGCGCUGCUCAGAUUUGUGGUUUCGAUCUGAGCUGUUCGUAUUCGAGUUGAGCUGCUGGUGGUUGAGGUAUUCGGAUUGGUAAUUUCUUCAAUAAUACUAAGUUACGCACAUCAUGUGUUCGGUGAAAUGCUUAGGCAGCUGACGAGCUGUCGUUGUUGCAGAUUAUUAUAUAUAUAAAAGACAUUUUACUCGUGUGACUUCAUACAACCGCACGCCUUCC
rnacentral:lncRNA from 1 species